CUAGUAACGGCGAGUGAAGAGGGAAGAGCCCAAGAUUGAAAGCUGGCGUCUUCGGCGUCCGCAUUGUAAUCUCAAGAAGUGUUUUCCGCUUCGGACCAAGCCUAAGUCCCUUGGAAAAGGGCAUCAUAGAGGGUGAUAAUCCCGUACAUGGCUUGGAGCGCCCGAAGCUUUGUGAUACGCUUUCUAAGAGUCGAGUUGUUUGGGAAUGCAGCUCAAAAUGGGUGGUAAAUGCCAUCUAAGGCUAAAUAUUGGGGAGAGACCGAUAGCGAACAAGUACAGUGAUGGAAAGAUGAAAAGAACUUUGAAAAGAGAGUUAAACAGUACGUGAAAUUGCCAAAAGGGAAGGGUAGGAGGUCAGAGAUGCGGCCUGGGAUUCAGCCUUGCUUUUGCUUGGUGUUUUUCCCAGAUUGCAGGCCAACGUCGGUUUUGGGCACUGGAGAAGGGUAGGAGGAACGUGGCACCUCUCGGGGUGUGUUAU
rnacentral:rRNA from 1 species